CGUGUAUUAGUUCUGCACACGGUGCUAUAAACAAAUUUGCAGGGCAACAUGACUUUUCUCAUGAACUUCUUCAUGAUGUUGCAAUGUACAGGUGCUGGACAAGAGCUGUAAUCUGUCCAAGCUACUAAGUGAUGUAAACACGUUAUUGAUGGAGCACCCUUUCCUUCAGCAUGGCAAUGUCAGACCACACAUGAGCGUUGCAACAUUUGCAUGACGCCUUGGGUUCA